rnacentral:rRNA from 1 species
UACGAAGGUCCCGAGCGUUGUUCGGAAUCACUGGGCGUAAAGGGAGCGUAGGCUGCGCGGUAAGUCAGAUGUGAAAUCCCGGGGCUCAACCCCGGAACUGCAUCCGAUACUGCCGUGCUAGAGGAUUGGAGAGGUAGCUGGAAUUCUUGGUGUAGCAGUGAAAUGCGUGGAUAUCAAGAGGAACACUCGUGGCGAAAGCGAGCUACUGGACAACUCCUGACGCUGAGGCUCGAAGGCCAGGGUAGCGAAAGGG